rfam:Ciona savignyi cont_35354, whole genome shotgun sequence.
GGCGCCAUGGCUUGGUGGUAAAGCGCCUGUCUAGUAAACAGGAGAUCCUGGUUUCGAUCCCCAGUGGUGCCU